GUCAAUGAGGUCGUGCCAGCGCCUAGGGUAGGAGAGGCUAUUGUGUUAAAUGACUUUUUCAACGCCGGGUUAAGAUUUCCGUGCGACAAGGAUUUGCAUAAGAUUUUGGACCGAUAUAGGGCUAAGCUUCACCAUCUCACUCCAAAUGCCUUUGUUGCUCUCUCCAAGUUCUACUGGCUCCAGCGUACAUUCGGUGGUCAUAUCGAUGUUGAUGGGUCCACAAGGUUAAUCGAACUUCACAUCCAACGGAAGAGAGUUAUAUUCAACAAUGAGGAAUGUACCUUCAAGACGCAGUUUGGGUGCUGCACCUUCGCGACUCGGAGGAAAAACGAGAAGUAGAAAAUCACAAGGGUUGAGCUUUCCUAUGCACAAAGGAACAGCUACCGGUUCUAUGUUAAAGUUGACAUGGCCGAUGCGUCUGGUAUCAGCCUCUCUUUUUAUCCUUUCUAUGCUCCAUUGGGCCCUAUGGACAUCUCCACUACUCCCGCAUUUACAAGGUCCAAGGUUGUUUAGGAGUGCGAGAACGCUUUUUUCUUAGCCUCGAAGUCAAUCUCCGGGUGGGAUCUUGUUGAGGAGUUCUUGGCGGCUAACAUCUAGCCCCUUUCCAUUGGGUGGGGUACACUGGAGAUUGUGCAGAAGGAUGUCUCGUGGUGCACUAGCCCACUCCCUUACCC
rnacentral:lncRNA from 1 species